rnacentral:tRNA from 1 species
GAAAAGGUAAGCUAAAAAAGCUAUUGGGUUCAUACCCCAAUUAUAGAAAAAUAUUCUCCUUUUUA